AAUAUUGGUCAAUGGAGGCAACUCUGAACUAGCCACGUCGCGUGAAGGAUGACGGCCCUACGGGUUGUAAUCUUCUUUUAUACAGGAAUAAAGUGAGCCACGUGUGACUUUUUGCAUGUACUGUAUGAAUAAGUAUCGACUAAAUCCGUGCCAGAAGCCGCGGUAAUACGGAGGAUUCAAGCGUUAUCCGGAUUUAUUGGGUUUAAAGGGUGCGCAGGCAGAAGAUUAAGUCGGCGGUGAAAUUUUGCAGCUCAACUGUAAAAGUGCCAUCGAUACUGGUUUUCUUGAGUGUGGAUGAAGUAGGCGGAAUUUGUGGUGUAGCGGUGAAAUGCAUAGAUAUCACGAGGAACUCCGAUUGCGCAGGCAGCUUACUAGGCCAUAACUGACGCUCAGGCACGAAGGCGUGGGGAUCAAACAGG
rnacentral:rRNA from 1 species